GCCUAUAAGUCUUGGUUUGAGGGUGGUCGCUCACCCUCGAGCGAUGAGCUCCGGAGUUGUCAUCACUGGGUUGGUGUUUUUCCCAGAAGACGGUCCCAUCGGGAGGAAGCUGAGGGCCCGAUAUUAGGGAUUUGAGUUGGUGAGUUAUGGAAUCCGGCGGGAGGAAGCUGAGGGCCCGAUGGGUUAGCCAUGAGAUUGAGUAAUGGAAAAGUAAUAUUG
rnacentral:lncRNA from 1 species